rnacentral:misc_RNA from 1 species
GCAAACUUGGUCAUUUAGAGGAAGUAAAAGUCGUAACAAGGUUUCCGUAGGUGAACCUGCGGAAGGAUCAUUAUUGAAUACUCUGAUGGGUUGUAGCUGGUCCUUCGGGACAUGUGCACGCCUGUUGUUGUUCUAUUCAUCCACCUGUGAACCAUUUGUAGUCUUCGAGGGCUGGGAGUCACCAAUCAUGAGUCGACAGACUGGAUAAGAGGACUGCAUGCAUCAAUGUGCAGCUUUCCUCAGCAGGUCGCAACCUCCCUCAAAGUCUAUGUUUUUCCAUAUACCACAUUGUAUGUUGUAGAAUGCAUCAAAGGCACUGUGCCUAUAUAAACUAUAUACAACUUUCAGCAACGGAUCUCUUGGCUCUCGCAUCGAUGAAGAACGCAGC